GUUUCAAUUCCUCAUAGGCAGGCUAUCGGCGUUCCCGGCGUACUUCCCGGGGGCACGCCGUAGUUGG
rnacentral:sRNA from 1 species